rnacentral:rRNA from 1 species
CAGUCGCCGCGGGAAUACGGAGGGUGCAAGCGUUAUCCGGAUUUAUUGGGUUUAAAGGGUCCGUAGGCGGACUUAUAAGUCAGUGGUGAAAGCCUGUCGCUUAACGAUAGAACUGCCAUUGAUACUGUAAGUCUUGAGUAUAUUUGAGGUAGCUGGAAUAAGUAGUGUAGCGGUGAAAUGCAUAGAUAUUACUUAGAACACCAAUUGCGAAGGCAGGUUACCAAGAUAUAACUGACGCUGAGGGACGAAAGCGUGGGUAGCGAACAGGAUUAGAGACCCCAGUAGUCCCUGUCUCUUAUAC